GUUGCAAGGAGAAAGAUAGUUAUUUUGCAAGGAAUAUAGCAAGUUGGAAGAACACAAGAAGGCCUCCAAAGCUCUCAAGAAAAGUUAGAAGAAAGCUACAAUUUAUUGACCCAAGUUUCAAGUUCAAAGGACUCAAGUUGGAAGAGCAAAUUCAAAGGAAAAUCCAAAAGAAUAGUCCUCGAGUCGACUCCUGGAUAGUACGAGUCGACUCCAGGGAGUAACAAGGCAGAAACACAGAGAAACUAUUUUGGACCCU
rnacentral:lncRNA from 1 species